rnacentral:rRNA from 1 species
AGGCGCGCAAAUUACCCACUCCCGGCACGGGGAGGUAGUGACGAAAAAUAACAAUACGGGACUCUUUUGAGACCCCGUAAUUGGAAUGAGUACACUCUAAAUCCUUUAACGAGGAUCUAUUGGAGGGCAAGUCUGGUGCCAGCAGCCGCGGUAAUUCCAGCUCCAAUAGCGUAUAUUAAAGUUGUUGCGGUUAAAAAGCUCGUAGUUGGAUCUCAGUUCCAGACGGGCGGUCCGCCUAACGGUGGUUACUGCCUGGCCUGAACAGCCAGCCGGUUUCCCUAGAUGAUCUUCACCGGUUGUCUUGGGUGACCGGCACGUUUACUUUGAAAAAAUUAGAGUGCUCAAAGCAGGCGUGUAGCCUGAAUAAUGGUGCAUGGAAUAAUGGAAUAGGACUUCGUUUCUAUUUUGUUGGUUUUCGGAACACGAGGUAAUGAUUAAGAGGGACAGACGGGGGCAUUCGUAUUGCGACGCUAGAGGUGAAAUUCUUGGACCGUCGCAAGACGA